UCGGGGAGAUUCCUGAUGAUGAACGGCAGGUCCAUUUUGAGGUGCCCCUGAACCCUAGUGAUGCAGAGAUAAGCGCUAUGCUUGAUUUGCUGGCUGAGGACUCUUCUGACGCUGCUCUUGCUGGGGCAUUGGUAGUGGCGCCCCUCCCAGAGGCUGAUACAACCUUGGAUACUCAGAAGCCUGCCAGUACUCGCCCGAGGCGCCCUUGCCGAGCCAAUCAACCUGAUCCUUCUGCUGAUGAGCAGAAAAAGAAAAAGAGACGCCUCCGACGAGUAUCUAGUUUGGAUCGGGACGUUGGUGCCUCGGUUCCUGCUGUUGAAGAAGUGCCUGUGACUGAAUUUACUGAUGCUGACCCCAAUGGGUGUACCCAAUCCGCUGCUGAUCCCAAUGUGGGUGCUCCAUCUGUUGCUGAUCCCAAUGGGGGUGCUGUCUGUGUUGCUAAUGUGGACGACGAGGAGGAAGAAGAUGAAGUUCCUUUGACUCGGAAAAACAGUCGGUAGUUCAUCGCUAGCGGUGAAAGUAGUGGAGUUCCUUCUCCUGCUUUGUCUGCUCUCAUUGGUCUGCAAGAACUGUCCCUGGCCAACUUUGAUCAGACUCUUGAGGAUAUGGUUCUAGAGGAUUUGUUAUCGGAGCUGGUGGAUGAUGGUGUGAUGGAGGUUUGUGCUGAUGUGCUUGAUGCUGGGUUGACGUCAUCCCGUGCCUCGUCGACCUUGGAGCACGAUCUCGAGGGUCGGGAGACUGACUUGGAUCGUCCUGGUCCCAUGGAAGUAACUGAGGGCCCAUCAGCCUUAGAAGUGGCUACCGCAGAGAACUUAGACCCCAAGGAUGGUGUUGACACAUGCCCAGCCCCUGAGGAUGUCGCUGGGGAUGACUUGGUUCGGGUGGGAAGUGUAAGCCACUGCCCAGCCCCCGAGGGUGCUGCCGGGGAUGAUCCGGCUCAAGUGGGCAGUGCCAACUAUGACCCAGCCCCCGAGGGUGUCCGAGCGGGGUCUCCUUCCUGUACUUCCAUGGACGUUCAUGCGGGAUCGCCUCCACACUCCGGCUGUAUGGUGGUAGCCCAAGCCUUGGACUAGGGAGUCGCUUUAGAGGGCAGCGUCCCCGCUGACCGAGUGUUGAGCUCUGUUGAUGGCACCGAGCUGAUUCCUGCUGGUUUGUCGCAAGCUGCUUCGGGUGGUGGCCUUACGCCUGGUUAUCAAUUGAUCUCUCCUGAUUUGGGGAUCCCUUCGUUCUUUUCCAACCUCCAGGUACUGUGAUGUAUUUUAGCUUGGUUUUUACAUUUGCAUGAACUGCUGUCAUUACACUCAUCUGUUCUCCUCAUCAGGCUUUGGUGGAUGGGAUGGCUAGCCAGCUGAGGUUACAGGGUGCUUCUGUCCCAGAAGUAGCUUCAUCUCUUGCAUGUUGGAAUCCAGUGUCACUUCAACGUCGUGUCUCUGAAUUGGAGGCGACCAACGCUGGUUAGUGUUUUUUUGCUUCUUUUUGUCUUCACUGUAAACUGCUUUACAUUCUGACCCCUUUUUGUUUGAUUGUCUCCUGCUAGGAAUGACUCGGCAGAUUUCCACUCUUGAGGAAAAACAUUCCCGAGAUCAGGCUGAAUUGGUCCAGCGGUGCACUGACUUUGAGGAAAAGUACUCUCAGAGCCAGACUGAACUGGGUCAGGUCUCCGCUGCCUUAGAUGACGCCAAUGCACUGAGUUCUUCUCUUCACGCUCAGCUCAAUUCUGAAAAGGUGAUUUACGGAACUGUGUUUUGCCUUGUUGUGCUCCUAUUACUUGCUUGGUGUUUGAGGGAGUUGACUUUUGUUUGCAGGAAGAAAAAUGUAUCCUUGCUGCUUCUCGUGACAGUCUCGACAGAUUGUAUCGCGAUUCUAGCAACUCGCUGACCAUCCUGGAGAGGAGUCAUCGCUUCACCAUGGAAGAGUUAGACAACCAACGCUGUAAGCUGCAGGAAUCCACGGAUGAAGUGACCCGGCUCAAACAGUUGAUAUCAGCGAAGGACUCUACUAUCAAAGAACUCCGAGCUUCCAAGAAAUCCAUCGCCUAAGAGUUAGAAACUGCUCGGCUGGCUGCCAAGGUCGUCGAAGAAACUUCUGUUACUCUCAGAGCCCAGCGCGAUAGGGCCAUGGACAAGGCUAUUCGAGCGGGGCGAAUCUUGAUGAGGAGACCCGGCGUGGUUGUUCCCGAAGAUAUAAGGGCUGAUGUGAGUGCUGCCCCUGAUUCUUCGAGUCGUCCUUCCUCAUCGAUUGCUCCUGAGAAAAAUAUCACAAAAUAGAGAAACAUUUUGCGUGCUUUGAGCGCGCGGUUAGCAUGGUCAGACAUUUGUUAGAGGACGUCAUUUCAGUACUUAAACGACAUUGUUAUUCUCGUAUUGUUUCCGAAUUCAUCAGUUCGUAAAUUUGCAGUAGUAAAAUGAUGUGCGAUGGUUUUGAAAUUUGUUUGCGGGAUAUAGAAGUCAUCCUUAUAUGAGUAAUUGUAAUCACGUCAGAUCUCCUUAAGUUGCUGCUGACUUAAGUCGAUUGCUUUUGUUAAUAGGGCGUAGUGGUCACCCUGAAUUGCGUAGGCGUGAGCAUGUUGCACCGCCUUAAGUCGUUGCCGACUUAAGCCGAUUGCUCCGUUAGCAGGGCAUAGUGGUCACCCCGAGUUAAGUAUGCGCGAGCAUGUUGCACCGCCUUAAGUCGUUGCCGACUUAAGCCGAUUGCUCCGUUAGCAGGGCAUAGUGGUCACCCCGAGUUAAGUAAGCAUGAGCAUGUUGCACCGCCUUAAGUCGUUGCCGACUUAAGCCGAUUGCUCCGUUGGCAGGGCAUAGUGGUCACCCCGAGUUAAGUAAGCGUGAGCGUGUUGCACCGCCUUAAGUCAUUGCCGACUUAAGCUGAUUGCUCCGUUAGCAGGGCAUAGUGGUCACCCCGAGUUAAGUAAGCGUGAGCAUGUUGCACCGCCUUAAGUCGUUGCCGACUUAAGCCGAUUGCUCCGUUAGCAGGGCAUAGUGGUCACCCCAAGUUAAGUAAGCGCGAGCAUGUUGCACCGCCUUAAGUCGUUGCCGACUUAAGCCGAUUGCUCCGUUAGCAGGGCAUAGUGGUCACCCCGAGUUAAGUAAGCGUGAGCAUGUUGCACCGCCUUAAGUCGUUGCCGACUUAAGCCGAUUGCUCCGUUGGCAGGGCAUAGUGGUCACCCCGAGUUAAGUAAGAAUGUAAGUCAAUCGUGAACAAACUGAGUAUCUUUGAAACCCCUUUUUUAUUGAUGACAUAUUUCCACUUUACAGAGUACAUCGUCGUCCCGAUAGCUUUUGAAAUACAGCUAGGGAUAAAACUUCCUGAGGUGUUCUAUGUUCCAGGAGUUCCCGACUUCUGUGCCAUCCAUCUGAGUGAGACGAUAUGAUCCUGGCCGAGUGACUUCUGCUACUAUGAAGGGUCCUUCCCAUAAGGGUGAUAACUUGUGCCGUCCCUCCCCCGUUAGAAUUCGGCGGAGGACGAGAUCUCCUACUGAGAAGGAUCGUUGUCGCACAGCCUUGUCGUGAUAGCGUCUUAGAGUCUGCUGGUACCGUGCUGAUUGGAUUACCGCAUUCAGCCGUUCUUCUUCAAGUAUAUCAAUGUCCUCCAGCCUGGUGGCCUCGACUUCUGCUAUGUUUUCGAAGAUCAACCUUGGCACCCCGAACUUGAGAUCGGCGGGUAGCACUGCCUCCGACCCAUAGACCAUGAAGAAAGGAGUGUUUCCAUGCAGAGCUCGGCUAGGUUGGGUUCUUAGGCUCCAAACGACAUAGGGCAAUUCCCUUAUCCACUUUCCUGCGAAUUUUUCAUUCUUAUCGAAGACCUUUUUCCUGAGUGCCUCCAGUAUCAUCCCGUUGGCUCGCUCAACCUGCCCGUUGGCUCUUGGAUGUGCUACAGAUGCAUACUUGAUCUGAAUGCUUUUUUGCUCGCAGAAGUCGAAGAACUCUGAACUUGUGAAGUUGGAUCCUAGGUCAGUUAUGAUGCUGUUUGGUAUCCCGAAUCUGAAUAUUAUGUCUUGUAUGAAUUCCACGGCCUUAGCUGAGGUUAAAGAAGCAAUGGACUUGAACUCUAUCCAUUUAGUGAAUUUGUCGAUUGCUACCAAUACAUGAGUGUAUCCUCCUUGAGCUUUCUUGAAAGGUCCAAUCAUAUCCAGUCCCCAGCAUGCGAAAGGCCAAGUUACUGGUAUGGUCUGCAGUUGCUGUGCUGGCAGAUGUUGUUUUGACAAGUAUUGGCAAGCUUCGCACCUCUGAACUAACUCGGCUGCAUCACUCUUCGCUGUUGGCCAAUAGAAUCCUGACCUGAAGACCUUCCCGACUAGUGUUCUGGACGCUGCAUGUAUUCCGCAUUGCCCAGCAUGGACCUCCUUUAGAAGUCGCUUCCUAGUAGAUGGGAGAAUGCACCUCAUGAGGACGCCUGAUGCACCCCUUCUGUACAAUGUCUCCCCAAUGAGCGUGUAGUGAGCCGACUGUCUGGCAAUGCACUCGGCUGAAUUCUUGUCAUCUGGUUCCUCUUCAUUCUUUAUAUACUUGAUGAUUGGCCUUCUCCAGUCAUCAGAGUCUGACUCGGGUUGAUCUAUAAUAUUACACUCUUCUGUUUGAUCCAUUGAGAUGCUCGGUUGUAGUAUUUCUUGCACAAAGACUCCAGGUGGGACCUGAGUUCGACUGGAUCCUAGCUUGGACAACACAUCGACUACUGUGUUCCGAUCUCUUUCUACAUGAUGAAAUUCCAGGCCCUCAAAUUUAUCUUCCAGCUUUCGGACGGCAGUGCAGUAUUUUCCCAUUGAAUCGCUUGAAUAAUCCCACUCUUUGUUUAUCUGGCUAAUGACUACCAGAGAGUCUCUGUACACCAUCAAUCUCUUGAUGCCCAAUGAUAUGGCGAUGGUCAAUCCAUGGAUUAGAGCUUCAUACUCGGCUGCAUUGUUGGAGGCCGGAAAUAGCAACUGGAGGGCAUAUUUGAGGUGCUCGCCUCCAGGUGCGGUGAAGAGAAUUCCUGCUCCUGCUCCCUGCAAUUUCAGCGAGCCAUCAAAAUACAUUCGCCACACUUCUGCAGUCUCUGGGUUAUCUGGUACUUGCUAAUCAGUCCACUCUGAUACGAAAUCAAUCAGUGCUUGAGUUUUGAUGGCAGUACGAGGUCGGAAUUCGAUGUCAUCAGAUCCCAGCUCACAAGCCCACUUGGCUAUUCGGCCAAUGGCUUCCUUGUUGUGAAGAAUAUCCCCUAUCAGAUAACCAGUGACUACUAUGACUUUGUGGUCAUCAAAGUAGUGACGUAGCUUGCGGGCAGUUAGAAGUACUGCAUAUAAUAGCUUCUGAACUUGAGGAUACUUUUUCUUUGAGGGGCCUAGAACUUCACUAAUGAAGUAAACAAGAUGUUGCACUGGGUAGGCAUGUCCUUCUUCUGCUCGCUCGACUACCAACGCGGUGCUUACCACGUGAGUCGUGCAAGAGAUAUACAGUAGCAGAUCUUCAGCUGGUUGAGUUGACGUAGCUCGUCGGGGUGGCUUCAGUACUGGUGGUGUUGUCAAGAAUUUCUUCAGUGCAUCUAGAGCCUCCUGUGCCUCUGAAGUCCACUGAAACUUAUCCACCUUCUUGAGUAGCUUGUAAAAUGGUAAACCUUUUUCCCCCAGCCUGGAUAUAAAUCUGCUCAGAGCUGCCAUACAUCCAGUAAGUCGCUGAACCUUCUUUUGCUAUCGAGGUGCUUCCAUCUUCAUGAUAGCUUCAAUCUUAUCUGGAUUAGCCUCAAUUCCCCGGUGGUUGACAAUAAACCCGAGUAACUUUCUUGCUGGUACCCCGAAAACACAUUUUUCGGGAUUAAGCUUCCAUCUAUAUCGUCUCAGACUGUUGAAAACCAGCUGUAAGUCUUCGAUGAAGUUUUCCGAAUUCUCUGUUUUGAUUACCACAUCAUCUACGUAGGCCUCCACACGCUUGCCCCAGUGAUCGGCUAAGCACGUUUGAAUGGCUCUCUGAUAAGUCGCUCCAGCGUUUUUGAGGCCGAACGACAUGAAGGUAUAACAGAAAGCACCAAACGAAGUGAUGAACGCUGUUUUUCCUCAUCUUCCUUCGCCAAACUAAUCUGAUGGUAUUCGGAAUAGCAAUCCAAGAAAGACAGCACAGAACAUCCAGUGGUGGAGUCCACCACCUGAUCUAUCCUUGGGAGCCCGAAGGGAUCCUUCGGACAAUGUUUGUUGAGAUCAGUAUAGUCGACGCACAUGCGCCAAUCCACUUUAUUCUUUUUGAGUACAAGAACAGGGUUGGCUAACCACUCGGGGUGUAACACCUCUCUAAUAAAUCCAGCCACGACCAAGCGAGCUAACUCGGCGCGAAUGGUCUCUCUCUUGUCGGGCGUGAAACGACGUAGCUUUUGCCGAAUCGGCCUUGCCUGGGGAUAGACCUUCAGUUUGUGCUCGGCCAGUUCUCUUGGGACUCCCGACAUAUCCACAGGUUGCCAUGCGAAUACAUCUCGGUUAUCUUGCAGAAACUGGACGAGCGCGCUUUCCUAUUUGUCGUCCAGGCUGGAGCUGAUGAUGGCAGUCUUGCGUUCAUCAGCGAACCCCAGGUUGAUCCUCUUAGUUUCUUCAGUCGGCCGCAUAGAGGUCGCGGCCUGAGCUUCGUUUGUCGGUACUGCAAGGUCCUCCUAAGGCUUAGAGUUCGCCUGUGUUGAAGAAACCGUCGACGGCUUGGUGGUGAGGGUUGCUUGGAUGGCCACUCGGAAACACUCUGCGGCGCCUUGGAGGUCGGCGCGCACAGUUAUGAUUCCUUGCGGUCCUGGCAUCUUCAGUAUCAUGUACGUGUAAUGUGGAAUGGCCAUGAAUUUGGCCAAUCCCGGCCUCCCGAUGAUGGCGUUGUACCCGCAGUCGAAGUUCGCCACUUCGAACCUCAGGAACUCGGUUCUGUAGUUCUCCGGAGUUCCGAAGGUUACAGGCAUGUAGAUGUGGCCCAGCGGGUAUUCCCCUUCCGUCGGCACGAUGCCGAAGAAAGGAGUGUCCGACUCAUGGAGCUCUUUGAGGUGAACUCCCAAGCCUUGGAGUGUACGGGGGAAGGUGAUGUUGAUGCUGCUCCACCGUCCACUAGCACCUUCUUCACCCGGCUCUCUCGGAUCACCGGAUCGACGAGGAGCGGGUAUUUGCCUGGAUGGUCGAAGUUGAGCCAUUGAUCCUCCCGAGUGAAAGUGAUCGGGUGCUCCGACCACCGGUAUGGGGCGGGAGGACCGGUGGUCGCCACCAGUAUCUGGCGGUCGUUGAGCUUUUGUUGUCUUUUGUUCUCCUGCGACCCAUGUCCGCCGAAGAUGACGUUGACCUCCCUGUCAACGCGCGGGAAAGCUCCUCCUCCUCCCUCCUCCUGCUGAUGGGGUUGUCGUGGUUCAUCUGGUCCUCCCCUCGGCGGAGGAGGAGGUAGAGGUUGGAAGGGUCGGUCGUGGCCGACGGAGUGCUUGAAGUCCCGGCAGUUACGAAGAGUGUGACGCAUGUCCUUGUGGUACGGGCACUGGGCGUCGAGGAUGUCGUCCAGCGUGCGCUCGCCUCCGCGAGGUCCUCCUCGGGCGCGAGAGGCAGGUGGUCCGGUGGCGUGCACUUCUUCGCGAGGCCUCUUCUCCCAACGUUUGUCGGGUUGCUGGUUCGCGUCGCGUCGUGGUGCUGCCGGUGCGGGCUUUGCUCCUCCGAUGAGGUCCUGGGCCCGCUCGUCGGCGGUGAUGUAGAGGUCGGCUUCCCGGAACAGCUCCUCGGAGGUAGUCGGCGCCUUCUGUAAUAUGGCUCGGACGAAAGCCAAGUCAUUGGAUCCUCUGUAGAAGUCCUCGAUCACGGCCGCCUCCGUGACCUCGGGGAUACGAUUUCUCAUGGUCUGGAACCUUUUGAGGUACGACCGGAGAGUUUCGUCUCCCUGGCGCUUGAUGGAUUUGAGGUCCCACGGUUGCGUCGGUUUGUCGGAGAGGGACUGGAAAUUGGCGGUGAAGCGUCGACUGAAGUCGCCCCAGUUGUCGAUGCAGUGUCGGGGUAGAUGUCGCAGCCAUUGCAGCGCGUCUUGCCCAAGGACAAUGGGUAAGUACGCGGUCAUCACGUCUUCGGACGCCCGGCAGCCCGAGCAGCGGUGGUGUAGACGGCUAGCCAACCCCCUGGAUCCUGCUUAGGUUCAUAUUUGUCGACAUUGGAUACCUUGAAGUUGGGAGGCCAUUGGAUGGCCCUAAGGCGCGAAGUAAGAGCAGACACUCUGCAUGUGUCCUCCUGUCGUCGGGGAUGAUGUCUGUACCGGGGAGGGGAGUAGUUGUUGUGGUUCCUCGACCGUCCCCGGGUGGUACCGCCAGUUGAGGCCGUUGCCGACUCAGUUCUGGUGGCCUGGCUCCGAGCUGGGAUGCCAUGAUCCCUGUCGUACUCCUCCCGGCGGCGGAUCUCGUUCUCAUGCCGUCGUUCACGCGAAGCAUUGAUGGAGCUUCGCGCGUCUCGGCGACUGUUGAUGGCGUGUCGUAGAUCGUUCGGCGGGUGAGCAAGCGGUAGAAGAUGGUUGGCUGCCUGGGUGAACAAUCGUCGGUAGCCCUCGGCGUCGGGAGUCCGAGGGAGCCCAUCAGCUAUCCGAGCUAGUACUCCUCCAACUUCGCUCGGCGUGUUCAUGGCUCGGGCGAAGUCGAGGUUCAGGUUGCGCCCGAAGAAUGGAUUCUCCCGGCGUUGCCUUGCAUCUUGCUCGGCUUGUUCCUGAGCUCGAUGGCGAUCACGUCGUCGAGAGUUCCUUCGUUCUCUGAAGACGCGUUCCUCCGGAGUUUCUCCUAUCUCCGAGACCUCGUCCCGCGAGACAGGUUGCUCCGGACCCCGUUCUCCUGCCGCGUGAUGUCGUCGGACGUUCCGGCGUCGGUUCCUCCGUCGGCGGGAUUCUCGUUGAGGUGGUUCUUCUCCGGGUGCGGUCGGCUCGUCAUCGGAGACGGUGGGCGACUCCGCUCUCCCGAUGAAGAGGACGUCCGGAUAGAAUGGUGCUGCUGUCGUGGCAACCUUCUUUCCAUUCUCCUUUGAGGGCGGAGGAACGGAAAGAACAACUUGCUUCCCCUUGGUUUCCUUCUUCCUCGCGAUCUGUGUCCAUUCUUUUGUCGGGGAAGUAGACAGUGGAGUUCUCUGGGUCAGCGGACCCUCGGCCCCUGACUUUCCGGAGACGAUCUUUUUCCGGAGAGCUGGAGGUUGCGCUUCUCCGACAUUUUCGGAGUUUGUUGGAGGAGACUUCUUUUCCGGCGAAUCCGCAAUGCGGUGUAGAGUUCCCUCUUCAUCUGCUAUGGAUGAGAUUGUUCCGAAGCAGAAUACGGAUCCGGGACGGAGGGUGAUCUUGCUGUGGAAGGUGACGGCCAUUGAGCUAGCUUGGAUCGUCGACACACACCCUACCUGGCGCGCCAGCUGUCGGUGUUUUGGGUCCGACCGCACACCCGGGGUUGCCCCUCAAGGUGUUUUUAGGAGUAGGACGGUGUCGACGACUGUAGCAAAAUGGUUCGUGCCAAUUGCACGAGGGACAGUGGACAAGGUUUACAGGUUCGGGCCGCUUAGAGAUGCGUAACACCCUACGUCCUGGUGAGUAUGCUGAGUGAAUGAGGUUACAAGAGAGCUCUCUGAAUUGAGAAUGCAGAGAGUUGAAAUGGGUGGCUAAGUAAUAGGGUCGAUCGAUCUGAAGGGGUGCCCCCUAGGCCUUAUAUACUCGACCGUGGGGCAAUACACGUGGAUAUGAUAACAAUGUGUAGCUAAAAGAUAGUGAACUGUUUGAGUUUAUCUCCCUGUAGUUCUGCCGACUUAUCCUCGCAUGGCUCCGUUGCAUGGGGGCUCCAGCGCGGGAAAGUCGGAUCUCUGUUGUGGUCGCUCGCUCGACAUUGUGGGCCGUCCAGGUUUGCACCAAUCCGGCCUCAUGUCGAUCUGCUUUGCUGGUUGUCCCUCCUCAGGCCCACGAAAGAAUGACCUUACGAUUUAUUGGGCCCUUGGGCCUUUCGUGAGGUCUUUUACUCUUUUAGUGGACCCAGGGGAUAUUUGUCCCCCACAGUGCACAAACCACAUGACAGGGGAGAAGAAGAUGUUCUCCUCAUAUGAGAAAAAUCAAGAUCCCCAACGAGCUAUCAUAUUUGGGGAUGGAAAUCAAGGUUUGGUCAAAGGUUUGGGUAAAAUUGCUAUAUCCCCUGACCAUUCCAUUUCCAAUGUUUUUCUUGUAGAUUCUCUAGAUUACAAUUUGCUUUCCGUUUCGCAAUUAUGUCAAAUGGGCUACAACUGUCUAUUUACUGAUGUAGGUGUCACUGUCUUUAGAAGAAGUGAUGAUUCAAUAGCAUUUAAGGGAGUGUUAGAGGGUCAGCUAUACUUGGUAGAUUUUGAUAGAGCUGAACUCGACACUUGCUUAAUUGCUAAGACUAACAUAGGUUGGCUCUGGCACCGCCGACUAGCCCAUGUUGGGAUGAAGAAUCUUCAUAAGCUUCUAAAGGGAGAGCACAUUUUAGGAUUAACAAAUGUUCAUUUUGAGAAAGACAGGAUUUGUAGCGCAUGCCAAGCAGGGAAGCAAGUUGGUGUUCAUCAUCCGCAUAAGAACAUCAUGACGACUGAUAGACCACUGGAGCUCCUUCACAUGGACCUAUUCGGCCCGAUUGCUUACAUAAGCAUCGGCGGGAGUAAGUACUGUCUAGUUAUUGUGGAUGAUUAUUCUCGCUUCACUUGGGUAUUCUUUUUACAGGAAAAAUCUCAAACCCAAGAGACCUUAAAGGGAUUCUUGAGGAGGAGGGCAUCAAGCAUGAGUUCUCUUCUCCCUACACUCCACAACAAAAUGGUGUAGUGGAGAGGAAGAAUAGAACUCUAUUGGACAUGGCAAGAACCAUGCUUGAUGAGUACAAGACUUCGGAUCGGUUUUGGGCCGAGGCGGUCAACACCGCCUGCUACGCCAUCAACCGGUUGUAUCUACACCGAAUCCUCAAGAAGACAUCAUACGAACUCCUUACCGGUAAAAAGCCCAAUAUUUCAUAUUUUAGAGUCUUUGGUAGCAAAUGCUUUAUUCUUGUUAAAAGAGGUAGAAAAUCUAAAUUUGCUCCUAAAACUGUAGAAGGCUUUUUACUAGGAUAUGACUCAAACACAAGGGCAUAUAGAGUCUUUAACAAGUCCUCAGGACUUGUUGAAGUUUCUUGUGACGUUGUGUUUGAUGAGACUAACGACUCUCAAGUAGAGCAAGUUGAUCUUGAUGAGAUAGGGGAUGAAGAGGCUCCGUGCAUCGCGCUAAGGAACAUGUCCAUUGGGGAUGUGUGUCCUAAGGAAUCCGAAGAGCCUCCAAAUGCACAAGAUCGACCAUCCUCCUCCACGCAGGCAUCUCCACCAACUCAAAAUGAGGAUGAGGCUCAAGUUGAUGAAGGAGAAGAUCAAACAAAUGAGCCACCUCAAUAUGACAACAAUGAUCAAGGGGGAGAUGCAAAUGAUCAAGACAAGGAGGAUGAAGAGCCAAGGCAGCCACACCCAAGAGUCCACCAAGCAAUCCAACGAGAUCACCCCGUCGACACCAUCCUCGACGAUAUUCAUAAGGGGGUAACCACUAGAUCUCGUGUUGCUCAUUUUUGUGAACAUUACUCUUUUGUUUCCUCUAUUGAGCCACACAGGAUAGAGGAAGCACUUCAAGAUUCGGAUUGGGUGGUGGCAAUGCAAGAUGAGCUCAACAACUUCACUAGGAAUGAGGUAUGGCAUUUAGUUCCACGUCCUAAUCAAAAUGUUGUAGGAACCAAAUGGGUCUUCCGCAACAAGCAAGAUGAGCAUGGUGUGGUGACAAGGAACAAAGCUCGACUUGUGGCCAAGGGAUACUCCCAAGUCGAAGGUUUGGAUUUCGGUGAAACCUAUGCACCCGUAGCUAGGCUUGAGUCAAUUCGUAUAUUAUUAGCCUAUGCUACUUACCAUGGCUUUAAGCUUUAUCAAAUGGACGUGAAAAGUGUCUUCCUCAAUGGACCAAUCAAGGAAGAGGUAUAUGUUGAGGAACCUCCCGGCUUUGAAGAUAGUGAGUACCCUAACCAUGUUUAUAAACUCUCUAAGGCGCUUUAUGGGCUCAAGCAAGCCCCAAGAGCAUGGUAUGAAUGCCUUAGAGAUUUCCUUAUCGCUAAUGGCUUUAAAGUCGGAAAGGCUGAUCCUACUUUAUUCACUAAAACUCUUGAAAAUGACUUGUUUGUAUGCCAAAUUUAUGUUGAUGAUAUUAUAUUUGGGUCUACUAACGAGUCUACUUGUGAAGAGUUUAGUAGGAUCAUGACACAAAAAUUCGAGAUGUCUAUGAUGGGGGAGUUGAAGUACUUCUUAGGAUUUCAAGUGAAGCAUCUCCAAGAGGGCACCUUCAUCAGUCAAACAAAGUAUACUCAAGACAUUCUAAACAAGUUUGGGAUGAAGGACGCCAAACCCAUCAAGACACCCAUGGGAACCAAUGGGCAUCUCGACCUCGACACGGGAGGUAAAUUUGUCGAUCAAAAGGUAUACCGGUCGAUGAUUGGUUCUUUGCUAUAUUUAUGUGCAUCUUGACCGGAUAUUAUGCUUUCCGUAUGCAUGUGUGCAAGAUUCCAAGCCGACCCUAAGGAAGCUCACCUUACGGCCGUAAAACGAAUCUUGAGAUACUUAGUUUAUACUCCUAAGUUUGGGCUUUGGUAUCCUAGGGGAUCCACAUUUGAUUUGAUUGGUUAUUCGGAUGCCGAUUGGGCGGGUUGUAAAAUCAAUAGAAAGAGCACAUCGGGGACUUGCCAGUUCUUGGGAAGAUCCUUGGUGUCUUGGGCUUCAAAGAAGCAAAAUUCGGUCGCUCUUUCUACCGCCGAAGCCGAGUAUAUUGCCGCAGGCCAUUGUUGCGCGCAAUUGCUUUGGAUGAGGCAAACCCUGCGGGACUACGGUUACAAAUUAACCAAAGUCCCUUUGCUAUGUGAUAACGAGAGUGCAAUCAAAAUGGCCGAUAAUCCCAUCGAGCAUAGCCGCACUAAACACAUAGCCAUUCAGUAUCAUUUUAUUAGGGAUCACCAACAAAAGGGAGAUAUCGAGAUUUCAUACAUUAAUACUAAAGAUCAAUUAGCUGAUAUCUUUACCAAGCCUCUUGAUGAACAAACCUUUAACAAACUUAGGCAUGAGCUAAAUAUUCUUGAUUCUAGGAACUUCUUUUGUUGAUUUGCACACAUAACUCUUUUAUAUACCUUUGAUCAUGUCUCUUUCAUAUGCUAUGACUAAUGUGUUUUCAAGUCUAUUUUCAAACCAAGUCAUAGGUGUAUUGAAAGGAAAUUGGUGUCUUCGGCGAAGACAAAGGCUUCCACUCCGUAACUCAUCCCUCGUCGUCGCUCCGCACAACUCUCCAUCUUUGGGGGAGAGAGCAUCUCUCCUACUUUGGUAUAAUCUUCACUCAUAUUUUACUUUACCAAAGGGGAGAAAGUUACUUCAAGGGCUCUAAUGACUCCGUUUUUGGCGAUUCAUGCCAAAGGGGGAGAAAGCAUGAGCCCAAAGCAAAAGGACCGCACCACCACCUAAUUUUAAAACUAAGGAUUUUCAAUUGGUAAAUUUCAAAAAUGAUAUAUCAAAACCCUCUUGAACACUAAGAGGAGGAUUUCAUUUAGGGGGAGUUUUGUUUAGUCAAAAGAAAAGCAUUUGAAACAGGGGGAGAAUUUCAAAUCUUGAAAAAUGCUUCUCGAAAUCUUAUUCAUUUACCUUUGACUAUUUGCAAAAGGACUUUGAAAAGGAUUUACAAAAGAAUUUGCAAAAACAAAACAAGUGGUGCAUGCGUGGUCCAAAAUGUUAAAAAUAAAGAAACAAUCCAUGCAAGAAUUUAUAUUGGCACAAUUCUAAGUAACCUUUGCACUUACAAUUAUGCAAACUAGUUCAAAUAUGCACUUUUAUAUUUGCUUUGGUUUGUGUUGGCAUCAAUCACCAAAAAGGGGGAGAUUGAAAGGGAAUUAGGCUUACACCUAGUUCCUAAUUAAUUUUGGUGGUUGAAUUACCCAACACAAAUUAUUAGACUAACUAGUUUGCUCUAGAUUAUAUGUUCUAUAGGUGACAAAGGUUCAUCUACAACUAUACUAAAUUGACUGUCCAGAAUACCGUAGAUUAUUCCGGACAGGAGAAGCUUUUUGGAAAAACAGACCAAGCGCGGACCGUCCAGGCCCUUGCGGCGGAUCGUCCGCAACACCAGGAUGACCCUCGGACAGAACCAAUGCAAAAAUCCGAGUCUGCACUAUGGACCGUCCGGAGGAAAAGCGCGGACCGUCUGAAACCUCGCGCGGACCGUCUGACCUCAAGCGCGGACCGUCCGGUAGGCAAGGAAUCAAAAAACCCGAAGGUGACGGGUUCGGAAAAAUGAAUUAUAGCGGCCUCGCGGACCGUCCGGGGUGCACGACCGGACCGUCCACGACUGGCUUUUUCUGACAUCUGACGACACAUUAAAUGCAAUAUAGCCGUUGAUAUAGCCGUUACUGCUGACCGUUGCGUUUUCAGCCGUUGAUCUACAGGGGCGGACCGUCCGGACCAGGCGGGCGGACCGUCCGCGCUCAGCAGAAUGGAGUAACGGCUAGGAAGUGGUUGAUGGCUAUAAAUACAACCCCAACCACCUCCAUUCACUUCACCCAAACAUUCCAACCUUCAACAUUCAAUACAAGAGCUAGCAAUCCAUUCCAAGACACAUUCAAAGCCUCCAUCUCUCCAAGUUUCACAAUUGAGAAAAGAGAUCAUUAGUGAUUGGUGACUUGAGAGAGAAAGUGAUCCUUGUGUUAUUUAUCGCUCUUGUCGCUUGGCUUUUGCAAUCGUGCUUUCUUUGAUUCUUCAUUGCGAUCAAACUCACUUGUAAUUAAGGCAAGAGACACCAAUCUUGUGGUGGUCCUUGUGGGAACUUUGUGUUCCAAGUGAUUGAGAAGAAAAGCUCACUCGGUCCGAGGGACCGUUUUGAGAGAGGGAAAGGGUUGAAAGAGACCCGGCCUUUGUGGCCUCCUCAACGGGGAGUAGGUUUGCGAGAACCGAACCUCGGUAAAACAAAUCCGUGUGUCACACUUCUUAUUUGCUUGCGAUCUGUUUUCCACCCUCUCUCACGGACUCGAUUAUAUUUCUAACGCUAACCCGGCUUGUAGUUGUGAUUAACUUUGUAAAUUUCAGUUUCGCCCUAUUCACCCCCCUCUAGGCGACUUUCAGGAAGGAAUCAAGCACGAGUUCUCCGCUCCCUACACACCACAGCAAAACGGGGUGGUAGAGAGGAAGAACAGGACGCUCAUAGACAUGGCAAGGACGAUGCUUGGAGAGUUCAAGACGCCCGAGCGGUUUUGGUCGGAAGCCGUGAACACGGCUUGCCACGCCAUAAACCGGGUCUACCUUCAUCGCCUCCUCAAGAAGACGUCGUAUGAACUCCUAACCGGUAACAAACCCAAUGUUUCAUAUUUUCGUGUAUUUGGAAGUAAAUGUUAUAUUCUAGUGAAGAAAGGUAGGAAUUCCAAAUUUGCUCCCAAAGCUGUAGAAGGGUUUUUGUUAGGUUAUGACUCAAAUACAAAGGCGUAUAGAGUCUUCAACAAAUCUUCGGGUUUGGUUGAAGUCUCUAGCGACGUUGUAUUUGAUGAGACUAAUGGCUCUCCAAGAGAGCAAGUUGAUCUUGAUGAUGUAGAUGAAGAAGAUGUUCCAACGGCCGCAAUACGCACCAUAGCGAUUGGAGAUGUGCGACCACAGGAACAAAAGGGGCAAGAUCAACCUUCUUCCUCAACAAUGGUGCAUCCCCCAACUCAAACUGAUGAACAGGUUCAUCAAGAGGAGGUGUGUGAUCAAGGGGGGCACAAGAUAAUGAUGUUAUGGAGGAAGAAGCACCACAGGCCCCUCCAACUCAAGUCCGAGCAACGAUUCAAAGGAAUCAUCCCGUCGAUCAAAUAUUGGGUGAUAUAAGCAAGGGAGUAACUACUCGCUCUAGAUUAGCUAAUUUUUGUGAGCAUUACUCUUUUGUCUCUUCUAUUGAGCCUUUCAGGGUAGAAGAGGCCUUGCUAGAUCCGGACUGGGUGUUGGCCAUGCAGGAAGAGCUUAAUAACUUCAAGCGAAAUGAAGUUUGGACACUGGUGCCACGUCCUAAGCAAAAUGUUGUGGGAACCAAGUGGGUGUUCUGCAACAAACAGGACGAGCACAGGGUGGUGACAAGGAACAAGGCUAGACUUGUGGCAAAAGGUUAUGCCCAAGUUGCAGGUUUGGACUUUGAGGAGACUUUUUCUCCUGUGGCUAGGCUAGAGUCUAUUCGUAUUUUGUUAGCCUAUGCCGCUCACCAUUCUUUCAGGUUGUUCCAAAUGGAUGUGAAGAGCACUUUCCUCAACGGGCCAAUCAAGGAGGAGGUGUAUGAAGAGCAACCCCUGGCUUUGAAGAUGAACGGUACCCCGACCACGUGUGUAAGCUCUCUAAGGAGCUCUAUGGACUUAAGAAAGCCCCAAGAGCAUGGUAUAAAUGCCUUAGAGACUUUCUAAUUGCUAAUGCUUUCAAGGUUGGGAAAGCCGAUCCAACUUUAUUCACUAAGACUUGUGAUGGUGACUUAUUUGUGUGCCAAAUUUAUGUCGAUAACAUAAUAUUUGGUUCUACUAACCAAAAGUCUUGUGAAGAGUUUAGCAGGGUGAUGACUCAAAAAUUUGAGAUGUCAAUGAUGGGCGAUUUGAACUACUUCCUUGGGUUCCAAGUGAAGCAACUCAAGGACGGCACCUUCAUUUCCCAAACGAAGUACACGCAAGACUUGAUCAAGCGGUUUGGGAUGAAGGACGCCAAGCCCGCAAAGACUCCAAUGGGAACCGACAGACAUGUCGACCUCAACAAAGGAGGUAAGUCCGUUGAUCAAAAGGCAUACCGGUCUAUGAUAGGUUCUUUGCUUUAUUUAUGUGCUAGUAGACCGGAUAUUAUGCUAAGCGUAUGCAUGUGUGCUAGAUUUCAAUCCGACCCAAGGGAGUGUCACCUUGUGGCCGUUAAGCGAAUACUUAGAUAUUUAGUUGCUACGCCUUGCUUCGGGAUCUGGUAUCCAAAGGGAUCAACCUUUGACUUGAUUGGAUACUCAGACUCCGAUUAUGUUGGAUGCAAGGUUGAUAGGAAGAGUACAUCAGGGAUGUGCCAAUUCCUAGGAAGGUCCCUGGUGUCUUGGAGUUCUAAGAAACAAACUUUCGUUGCCCUAUCCACCGCUGAGGCCGAGUAUGUUGCCGCAGGACAGUGUUGCGCGCAACUACUUUGGAUGAGGCAAACCCUCAGGGACUUUGGCUAUAAUCUGAGCAAAGUCCCACUCCUAUGUGACAAUGAGAGUGCAAUCCGCAUGGCGGAUAAUUCUGUUGAACACAGCCGCACUAAGCACAUAGACAUCCAACAUCACUUUUUGAGAGAUCACCAGCAAAAGGGAGAUAUCGAAGUGUUUUAUGUUAGCACCGAGAACCAACUAGCCGAUAUCUUUACAAAGCCUUUAGAUGAGAAGACCUUUUGCAGGCUGCGUAGUGAGCUAAAUGUCUUAGAUUCGUGUAACUUGGAUUGAUCUAUAGCAUACAUGUGUUUUAUGCCUUUGAUCAUGUUCCUUUAUGCAUUUUGUUGCUUAUUUAUGGUGCUCAAGUUGUACCCAUGAUCCCCGGACCUCACAAGUCCAUUUGCAAGUGAUGUACUUAUUGAGGGGGAGGCAUGCUACAACUUGACACUUUAAGACUAACCGUGUGUUUAAGUUGACUUGUUUUAGUCUCAAAAGUGGAUUGAAAGGGAAAGGUGGACUUGGACUGUGAAAGACUUCCACUGCACUCCGAUGAGAGGGUAACUUAUUCCAAGUUCAUCUCCAUGAUCUUAUUGCCUUUUUACUCUUACUUGAAGAUUUUGGUGAGGCAAUGGGGUUUUAAAGGCCAAAAAUGAUCUCGUUUUGGUGCUUGAUGCCAAAGGGGGAGAAAUUAAGGCCUAAAGCAAAUGGAUCAGCUACCACUUGAGAAUUUUGAAAAUAGUAGAGUUAGAGCUUUUGUUUUGUCAAAAUACUCUUAUUGUCUCUUUAUGUCAAAAGUUGGUCUCUUGUGGGGAGAAUGUUUGAUUAUGGGAAAAGGGGGAGUUUUUGAAUACUUGAUCAAUUUCUCUUGGAACACCUCUCUUUAUGCCUCAACAAGUGUGUUUGACUUAGAGAUAGGAAAUUUAAGUUGAUUUGCAAAAACAAACCAAGUGGUGGCAAAGAAUGAUCCAAAUAUGCCAAAUUUGAAUCAAAACAAUUUUUUGUUCUCAUUUGUGUUGAUGUUGCACUUAUUCUAGUUGCUUUGUGUUGUGUUGGCAUAAAUCACCAAAAAGGGGGAUAUUGAAAGGGAAAUGUGCCCUUGGGCCAUUUCUAAGGAUUUUGGUGAUUACGUGUCCAACACAAAUGCCUUAAGUAUUAGUAAGUGCCAAAUGGUGGAUGAAGUGAAAAUCAACACAAAGGUAUGAUUCUAGACUUAGUACAUUGAUUUUUGUGUACUAACAUAUUUGUCUAAGUGCUAGAAUCAGAGAAAACACAAAAGGAAAAAGACUUGGCUGGAACAGCCAAGACUCUGCGCAGUCUAGGUGCACCGGACAGUGUCCGGUGCACCAGGCUUGAGUCUGGUCAACUGGCCGCUCUCGGGAAUUCGUCGGCGGCGUACGGCUAAAAUUCACCGGACUGUCCGGUGAGCCAACGGUCGACCGCGCAAUCCGCACGUGACGCGUGGCCGAGCCAACGGUCUGAAUGGGGCACCGGACUGUCCGGUGCGCACCGGACAGUGUCCGGUACGCCAACGGCUCCAAAUCUUCAAUGGUCGGCUGCGCCAUUUUUGGAAAGCAAUCUGCACCAGACACUGAAUAGUGCUUGUCCGAUGGCACACCGGACUGUCCGGUGCGACACCCGACAGAAGGCAAGAAUUGCCUUCCCUGAUUGCCUCCAACGGCUCCUAGCUGCCUUGGGGCUAUAAAAGGGACCCCUAGGCGCAUGGAGGAGAAAUAUACAAGCAUUCUUUGAUCAUCUCUAAGCACCAAGACUUCAUUCUAGCGCAUUUGAUUCCUUGUGAUAGCAAUUUGAGCUCCUCUUGAGUUGAGAACUCCGUGUGUGAACUUAGAGCUCAAGCUGUGACUAGUGUGCGUGUUUGUGCUGUUGAGACUUGUGUGUGUUGCUUUUCCCUCCCUUACAUUCGUGCUUGUGAUCAUCAUUUGUAAGGGCGAGAGGCUCCAAGUUGUGGAGAUUCCUCGCAAACGGGAUAUUGUGAAAGAAAGAAAAACACCGUGGUAUUCAAGUGGAUCUUUGGAUCACUUGAAAGGGGUUGAGUGCAACCCUCGUCCAUUAGGACGCCACAACGUGGAGUAGGCAAGUGUUGUACUUGGCCGAACCACGGGAUAAACCAUCGUGUCUCUUGUGUUUGUUCUCACUGUGACUAUUGUGUUUCACAAGAUCUCGGUCCUUAGCCACUUGAUUUCAUUGUACUAACACUUAAUCAAGUUUUGUGGCUUUAAGUUUUAAGUUUUUACAGGAUCACCUAUUCACCCCCCCCCCUCUAGGUGCUCUCAAGCGCGCCGAUGUUCACCGUCGUCCGAGCUUCACCCGGGUGAGAAACCCAUUGCAUCCCACCCUUUCUUAUCUUUUCCUUUCCUUUUCGAGCUCGUGAUCGUCGGUAGCUAUGUGCUGGUGAGCCGCCAUCCGCGCCACCGUGAAACCGCCUCACCACACCUCUACUGGCUUGGCGCGUUGCAUCAUAGUUAGUCACACAUGCCCUAAACUCCUCCCAUCUCUGCGUGCGAGCGCAGUGCACCCUAUGCUGCCACGCAAACGACUUAGCUAUUCAACCAUCCAUGGCCGACGGUGACCCGGUCGAACUCCCAUCGCGCCGACACUAACGUGUGGCCAAACGCCCAACCCCAUGCCCAAAGCCCCUCCUCUUAGACCCCAUGUAACCUUGUCGGCAGACCGUCUAAAUGUCACCUAGAGGGGUGCAUAGGGGAAAGCUAAAAUUUAUAACUUCAAACACAAUGUUCGACCCCGGUUAGGUGUUAGAACGAGAAUAAUAACGAUCAGGGUGAGCGAGAGAGAGAGUUCUUCUUGCACAAGUUGCUCAAAUGAUUGUGGAUUACUCGGGGAGCAACUUAGUUGAUAUGGAAUCAAGCGCAAGCAAGAGAACUAGAGAGAGGAGGGAGAGGAAGAAUCAAAUCGCAAAUGACGGUCAAACACAAAUAACCUACUUCCCAUUGAGAAGUCCAUAAAGGAUGGGUCCCUUUCAACUCUUUCCCUCUCUCAAACAGUCACAGAGACCCAUUGAGUUUUCUUCUCUUCUUGGGGACACCAAGUCCUGCAAGGACCUCCACACAAAGAAACAGAGUCUCUUGCUUAACUAUACAACUUGUGAGAAUGGGAGUGAGAGCGAGAGCGAAAUUGAAAACCCAAAAAAAGAGCACAAGAGAUUGCAACACUCAAGAACACAAGCACUAAGUCUCUCUUCACUCAAAUCAGUCGAAUGUGCGCUUGUGUAGCUUUGAAUGCAUAAGAGUUGUUGCGCUUGAGGCAUGGUUGUUUGGUGUAGCCCCCAACCACCCAAAUAGCCGUUGGAGGUGAGUGGAGAAAACUACACAGUCGAGUGGCACACCGGACCUCCAAUAGUACCGAUCUGGUGCACCACCAGACCCCUGUCAUACUGCUACAACAGGUAGCCAUUCUGACGGGUGAUUGGAAAAGUAAUUGGUCUGAUGGCACACCAGACCUAGCCACAUCAAAUCUAACCAUUGAGAUAUGAAAGUAGCUAUUGGACCCAGAUGGUCUGGUGCAUCACUAGUCCGGUCCGGAUAGUCAGCCUCUGAAGUGCCUUUUUUACAUCCUCUCCGUGUAACCGAUCCAGAUAGGCACUAGACCGGUCCAGCAUGCCAGCUGGUAAAAACUGAGUCUCGACCUUCUCCGUGUAGACGGUCUGGUGCACCAUCGGACCGAUCUCGUACGCCAGACAACAACCCAGAUUUUAUAAACUUGUCCAAUUCUUCUUCAAAUGAAUUUUAAUGGUCUUGAGUAUAUUCAUAUGACUUAGACAAACAUAUCUAGAUGCAAUCCAACUUGUCUAAGUCACAGAACUUGGACAUUUCAAUUUCUCUAACUCAUAUUCCUGAUUUUAGCUCGAACUUGCUUCAAAAGAGCUCCAAUAGAGAUUCAUUGAAACGGAUCUUUCUAACCAUUUUAGAUGAACCAAAUAUGUUCCUAGGGAUAUUUAGAACUUAUCCAAAGUAUAGAACUAGUGCUAGUUCGACCAUUUGAAGUUUUACCCAUUUUGACUAGAGUUGAGCUGAUUCUGACUUAGAAACUGAAUUAUUGAACAUGUGAACCUGUGAAUCAAAGAUUAGGCAAACUAGUUAGUCUAAAAGGUUGUGAUGGUCAUCAAGUACCAAAAUCAAUUAGAGGAAAUGGUUUAAGGCCAUUUCCAUUUCAACGUUGUGUUGGCCUGAGCACCCACUGCAUGCUCAUGUGUCGCAAGUGUCGAGACGUUAGAGAAGACCCUCAUGGGACCCACCUGCGUGCUUCCCUUCAUGCCUGUACCCCCUCCUGGCCAUGUGUUGUCGCUCGAUGGGCCGCACAGACAACCCUACAGGCUGGAGUCAUCGCACCAAAUCCCGCUGCAGGCACACAAGAUCCAAUCGGAUCUUCUGUGACCUAGCCCCGUGGCCUUGUGUGUGGUCGGGUCGCAACCACUCAGAAUCGCAGUCAUCUCGGGACUUCUUGAUAGUCGCCUAGAUGGGAUGAUGAAUAGGUGAAAUCUCAAAUUUAAUCACCUCAAAAAAACUUGAUCUCAAAUUAGUUGGUUAGAGCAAGAGGUAAAGUAAUCGGAGUUAUGGAUAUAAGUUAUUCAAUCAUGUUGCUCUAAUGAAUGCAGAAUAGACUUGGGAGCAACACAAGAUGAUUAUAAUGGAAAUCAAUGCAAGAGAUCAUUUGGUUAUCUUCAAGAGCAUUCAUAUGACUUAGAAAAACAUAUUUGGAGUCUAUCCAACAAGUCUAAGUCAUAGUUCUUCAUUUUUUAUUUCUCCAACUUAGAUUCUCAUUUUAGCUCAAACUUAGCUCCAAUACACUUUUUUCCAAAAUCUGAACUUUUCAAUCCCUCUAAAAGGUGCUCAAAUACAUUCCUAGGGGCAUUUAUAACUUAUCCAAACAUAUGAACUACUCAUAGUUUAUCUUAUCCUUAGUAUGCCCUUUCUAGCCUUGUUUUGAGAUAUUAUUCAUAUUGAAUUCUUCAAUUUCAUUCUUAUGAACCUCCAUACAUUCACUUAGCAAAGUAGUAGUACAUAAGGUUGUGAUGAUCAUCAAACACCAAAACCAAUAUAGAAACCGCUAAAAGCCCAUUUCCCUUUCACUUUUGCUCUGAGGCCCCUGUCCUUUCCCUAAAUUAAUUUUUUGUUCGCUGAGUCACAACAAAAAACACUGCAAUCCCCUGGAAUAUAUGGAUAAUUAGGUAUAGGUCCUUGGAAUUUUGAAACCUCAUAACUUUUGCAUAAAAAGUCCAAAUUUUAUUGUUCAAGUUAGAGUAGCUUCAUAAUAAAUUUGCCUACAUGUUAACAGCAUUUUUCACCAUGUCUUGUACUCAAAUUAAUAGUUUAAUAUUGGUUUAACUAAGUUAAUUAAAACUAGUCUUUGAUGGAGUUUGAACCGAGGAUUUUUUAUCCUGCCUCACUGAAAUCAAUGUGAAUGAAAAUAAGGCCAACCAAGAUGUAUGGAUCCUAAUUAAAUAAUGUGAGUCCCUAGACGCCCCUAGUUUACUCACGAUUACUGCAAAUUAACUCCAUUCUCAAUAAUUUUUAACUAUAUGUUUAAGAUAUUGUGUAAAAUCAUUAAAUGGUAAAGUAGCCCAUGGUAUGCCUUCAAGGGCAUGACUAGUUUAACCCAAGAUAAUGAAAAUUUAUCUUUUUGUUCUUUGUAAAAUACAAACAUGGUCUUAAUGAUUUAUGUUGCCCAUAACUAAUAUGUCAAGAAAAUACAUUCUAAAUUAUCCUAGAGCCUAUAAACUCCACAUUUAAUGCAAAUCCUUUUCAUAAAUAUGGUCUACUUUGUUGCAUAUGGCUGGUGUAUUGUUCUUUUAUUAUCAAGUGUAUUGAAUGCAUGUUUGUAUCGUGUAGACCAUGAGCAAUUUGUGGUUUCCGAAGGUGGUACCAGAGAAGACCCUGAUCAACAAAUGGACAAAGGCAAGUGUCCUUUGACCUCCUUAUGUCCUAUUUCACGUAAGAACUUACUUUCCUGCAUAACAUGAUCAACAUUAGGAUGUCUAGUUCGUUGUUUUCCCGGUCCUUGUUUACCUUUGGGAAUGGGCAGUGAUGUUUAACUUUUAUGCUUGUGUUGAAAGGGAAAUAUGUCUUUGGGCUAUCUCUAAGUGUUUUGGUGAUUAACUUCCCAACAACUUUAUUGUUAUCAUUUAUUUAUGUAAGACACUUCCGUUAUGUAAUAAUGUUUGUGACAUUUAUCUCUAUACAUUUGGUCAUUAUAUGUGUUGUUUUUUGUGCACAUAUGAGACGCACCCGUGUUUACCCCUUAAAUCCGGGUGUGACACACGAUCUGCUGGUCAUAGCAUUCACUGCAUUUUUUCACACGCUGUAUAGUAAAUCCGUGGGUGUUUAUAGUAUACACAUGAGAGGGCUAUCUAUAGGUAGUUAGGUCAAUUUGGGGUAGGUCAAUGGUCGGACGACCACGUGUCUGUCCGGUUGGCCAUCUAUACAUCGAUUUUUGCUCAUCCAUAAUACGUUACUCCCUCCGUUUCUUUUUAUUAGUCGCUGGAUAGUGCAAUUUUGUACUAUCCAGCGACUAAUAAAAAGAAACGGAGGGAGUAUAUAGAGACUAAACUUUAGUUGGGUGUAAUCAACCACCUAUAUCUGACUUCACCUAUCUACGUGAGGGCUGAGGUGGAGUCCUUUCAACUCUUAGAUUCACCCAACACUUGUAUCCACGGUUGAUUUGUGUAUUUCUUGUGGUUCUUUUAUAGUCCCUUUCCCUUUAUAGUGAGCAGUUGCAGAAAGUUUAUACAUAAGGAUUUUCUAGUUGCACACGGUCCAAACUGUUUUAAAACCAGCGCGCACCAGACAAGAAGACCAGUACGUGGUACAGUGCGUGCGUCGCACACGGUCCGCUCGCGCGCCACGCCCACUUGGCCCGCCGCACCUGUGCCCGUGGCCCGGCCACGUCCCCUCCUCCGUCGUUUCCGCGGCCCGAUCGGCGACCUCACCACGUCCGCUGCCUGCACCCCACCCCCACCCAGCGGCAGCGUGUAGGAUAAGCCGCUUGUGGCCGCCUCGCCUUCCCCAUCACGACCACCACCCAAUCACCACGCCAGCUUAUAUGCCCCACCCGGCGCCACUCGACGUCUCACGGAGAAAAAGAAAGAGGAGCUCGGACAAGGCAGAGCGCCAUCGUUCGGUUUCCUUGCUGAAUUCCCGAUCGCUCGCUCGCUCGAAAAGAAAGAAGCUAGCUUUUAGCAUGGCGUCUCUGGCGUUCGGCAGCACCGUAGCGGCGGCCGUGGCGGCGACCUCGGGGAGGACGCGGCCGGCGCGCCGGUCCGUGCUGGUCGUGCCGCCCGCUGCCAGCAGGGGCGGCCCGGCGCCGGCCAAGGAGGAGAAGGGCCUCGGCGAGACCAUCUUCGGCUUCAUCUUCAAGAAGGACCAACUGGUGGAGACGGACCCGCUCCUCAACAAGGUCGGCGCCGCGCCGGCCGCCGCCUCCCGCGCCAAGACGACCGCCGGCAAGAAGGCUGCCGGCGGCGACGACAGCGGCAGCGGCGGGGGGUUCAACCUCGGCGGCCUCGGCGGGCUCUUCGCCAAGAAAAGCAGCUGAACGUGCCAAGUGUGGCGUGGUUUAUGGAUUGUCGAACUCAAAGCUGGAUUUGGCUUUUGAGGGGGAAAUGGUUGCGCAUAUAUAUUUGUGGACGUGUGGUGGUGUGACCAGUGAUCUUUGAUGUCAUAAUGUGAUAUACUCUACUUCCAGCUGCACCUGUGAUUUUUUUUCAGGACUUCGUUUUGCUCUCAAUCCAUAUGGAUUGGAUGAGAUUGAGUUAGUUUAAUUUUCAAACAAGUAAAAAUCUUUCAUAUUUUUUUCUAAUCUCGUCCAAUUCAAUAGGAAUAACCGAACCAAACCUAAUUAUGACAGGCCUAAGUAUGACAGAUGGGUUAUUAAAAUGGUUAAGCUACUUAGCUGAUCAUGUUUGAUUUAUGUCUGAUCUUACUUUACUCUUGGGUGCAAAUAAUAGCUUGGGAACCACUGAAUCUAGAUAUUGAUUGCCUUUGCUGUGCCAGUUUACAGUUUAGGAAUUAUGGACACUACUUAAUCCAGACAUGUGUAUAUAUCAGUCUCAGAUAAAUAGAUUUCUCUUUGAGAGAGACAAUAAACCCAACAACCCAACAGAAGUAUUGGUAAAAACCGAAUCAAUCGGUGAUGUGUUUUUUUUACCAUGAAUUCCUGAAGAGGGCCCGGUUGGCAACCAUGUCGGAAACACAAAUCCUUCCUUUAUUGUGUAGUAUAAUAAUCGUUCUGCUCAAUUUCUUGAUCAGAGUAGUGGAGUACUGGAGUUCCAGUUGCUGAUUGGCCUUGCAGAGUUCCUCCUGCCUUGGCAUUGUCAUGUUACAAAACUGAGGGCACACAACACAUGCUGUACCCUUUGAAUGGAUGGAAAGGAUGUAAAAUUUAUGAACUCUGGACAUAUCUCUGUACAGUUGAUAGGAACAAUGGUGAUAUCUCUGUACAGUUGAUAGGCAGAGCUGCCGCAGUAGCUCUUCAUGCUACAGCUUACAACCACACAGGGACAGGACAGUUAGGACAUCUUUGCCUUUGCAAAGAAUAUCCCAGCAAAAAGACCUGGUGACAACAUGCAGAUACGAGACACCGUUAGGGGUAACAUGGGUAAAAAGAAGGCCAUUAGAAAAAUGUCAUGGGCAAAAUAAACACUUACCAAAAACUAUGCUACAGAAAUUUUCGACGCUUACAGGGACAUUGAACAGCAAAAUACCAGCAACCGAAAUGGGUACCUUGUUCAGAGAACCAACGAGACUGAAAAAGAGAACAAAAUGAUAAGGACUUCUCUGCUCACAGGAGUGCAGAUCUCUUCUCUCUUUUUUUAUGCAAACAUUUUUGUACUGCCGUCUCACCUAUACGUUGUUGGACCAGUCUGAUGCAAAAACCACACUGAUGAGAAGCUGAUGGCUAGCCCUAGCAAACCACUAGCUGUUGCAACAACCCAGAACAUAGGCUCUCUGAUAACCUCACUGCAAAUCAAAUGAAAGUAAGAAGGCAACCAUUUGUGAUGAAGGCAACCAUUUGUGAUUAUGGACCUCACUGCAAAUCUUUUAUAUGUGCAAAGGAAGAAGGCAACCAUUUGUGAUGAUAAUUUGACUUUGUAUUAUUUAAUAAGUUGGUCGCAGGUUUUUUUUUUUGAAAGAUAGGCCAGGCAUACACCGGGUCUCGAGCCCAGGUUGCAUCGCUCUGAACUGGUGCACUCUACCAAACUCCAAACGAGCCAGAGCUCGUUCCCAAAAGCUGGUCGUAGAGAUUAAAGCAUCUUUUAUGAACAAAGGCAGAACGCUUUUUCAUGAAAGGAAGUUUAAGUUUAAUGUAGAGUAUGACGAAAUGAAGUUUAAUAUGUUUUGACUAAACUGGAAUCAACAGGUAAAACUUAAUGCAUAACAUGUCUACGAUCUGCUUUAAAAAAUAUGUCUAUGAUCAAUCAAAUCAAUAGAGUUAACUACUCUAAAAUGAUCAGGCCUGAAAAAACAAAAUAACAAAUACAUAAAUACAUUAACAAAUGACUCAGACCAAGUACUUUAGUCCACACCAUGCAAGUUUUUUUAAUUUAGAAAAGUAUGGUGAACAUGCAACAAGAUGAAAUUCUUACGCUUGAUAAACAUAUUCCCACUCAUUGAAGGCUAUAACCAAAAUGAGUGCGAAUGGAAUUGAGAGUGCAUUGUUGAGUAACACCAUAGAAACUUCAUUGAGGGAGCCAGAUUUUGUUGAUUGCUUAGCUGUAUCCAUCAAGCGCCUUAGUGUAAGCUGUUAUAAAAGGAUCGUGUAUUAGAGGUGCUAGGGACACAGCAGAACUAACAAUAUUGACCUCAUAAAAAGAAUGAAUAAGCUUGAAUUAAGCUUGAUAUUGUUCCGGUGUUGAUUAUGGACCUUAAAUGAACUAAUUCAUUAUACAAUGAAAAUCUAAAGAUUAAAUGCAUGACAGAAACCUCUGCACAGCAAUCCAUUGAGAUUGUAAAGAGAUUUACAAUAGUUUAUAGAUGUGUAAAACUAUUAGCACGAAUGAACUAACCGAGUAGCCUGCUGUUAGAAAGCAAUUCAGAAUUUGCCACGUGUAGCCAACUAGAUGGAAAGAGAGAUCUGUAAUCCCCCCACAUACAGCUGAUACAAUCUGCAAAGGAAGUGGAACAUAAACUGUUUACUGUUCAUGUAAAAAAAUCAUGCUGUUCUGGAGGUAAAUUCUUCGUGAAGGUCAAUACACUUUGAUAUAUGGAAGUCAAGCAGGAAUGAACCUACCAUCAGAAACAGUGCAGCCCAAACCUUCUUAUUCUGACCCUUCCUGAAUAUAUAUAUCUCUCCUAUAGCCGUUAUAAUAUUUGUCAUGUUCUUUAGUAUUGUCACCAUUGCGACGUUUAUGUACUUCAAACUGAAGAAUUGCAGAGACAGAGAAAAGUUGGAUUAAUCAAAAAUAGUACUGCAACUGCAAGCCUACCACACCAAUAAAGUUUACUUUAGAACUGAGACAACUACAACCUGAAAUAAAAAAAA
rnacentral:lncRNA from 1 species